CUGACUGGAUAGAGAGAGCAUAUUCCGUUAUCUGUGGUGAAAAAAUACGAUAGUAGCAGAACAUCAUCUACAGUUUGCUAUAGUUUAACAAAAUUCCGGUGAAUUGAAUGAAUGUGAAUGAAUGAGUUUACAGAAAAAAGAAAAACACUUGCCAAGUUUUCUCAAAAAGUGUGGGAAAAGUGUUGAUACUCCUAAAGUUACAAGAAAAAGAAAAAAAAAGUCCAAGGCUGACUCUGGAUAAGUGAGCGAACGGUGCAUUAGUGUGUGAAAACGAGCAUAAGAAGGAAAAAGAAACUGUUCGGGGGGAAUUUCCCAACAAUAUUUUAUAAGUUAUCGAAAAACGUAUUUUUUUUCCUCUAUCUGGCAACGAAUCGCUUAGUGUCGGUAUCAGUGAAAAAAAAGGAACUUUGUGGACUCUUUGUGUUUCGAAAACCGUGAAAUUUUUAUUCCAGUGAGUGAAAAUAAAAAAAAGCAACAGGACCCGUGGAAUGUUCUCGUGGAGAAGAGGAUGUUCCAAAUGUUAUUGAUAAGGUUCGGGAACGCCUAAGAGUUGCAUUGGAAAAAAAUACUGAACUUGAAGGAGAGUUGACUAAUCUCAAAGAAGAGGAGUAAACAUUUACGUGACUGUGACUUCGUUUGUUUUUAUUUCAUUCGGAGAAAUAUUAUAUCAGGGAAAGUGGACAUCAAAAAAGCGUUGCUCAGUGAAAGAGUGCCCGAAUACGAGUGAAAAGCUUUUAUCGUAUUCCUUCGAAAACGUAUUUAUAGACGCACUGGGCCGAUUUUUGCGGAGACGACAAACUAGUUCCGAAGAAGGAUUCGCGUAUCUGUGGAGAUUAUUUUUAUAGCGUCUUAAUGCAGUGGACUGUAAAAACUGCUACUUAAUCCCGCUGCGCGAUACCAAAGCAGCCUUUAUGCGGAUUGCCCAGCGUGAGAAAAAAAAUUCCCCCCGUGGGCGCGAUGCAGACUGCCUUCAUUGCAGUGAUGCAGCGGGGAUUUUCCAUUCGCAUGGAACUUCACAUCACUGUGGCAGAUUGAGGGACUCGUUUCAUCGGAGACAAAACACAACACACGCUUAAACUAUAACUAUGUACAUUGUGUUUUACAUAAUACUAUAGAAAUAUAC